UGGGGAAUAUUGCACAAUGGAGGGAACUCUGAUGCAGCGACGCCGCGUGAACGAAGAAGGCUUUCGAGUCGUAAAGUUCUUUUAUAUGGGAAGAUAAUGACGGUACCAUAAGAAAAAGCCCCGGCUAACUACGUGCCAGCAGCCGCGGUAAUACGUAGGGGGCUAGCGUUGUCCGGAAUCACUGGGCGUAAAGGGUUCGCAGGCGGAAAUGCAAGUCAGGUGUAAAAGGCAGUAGCUUAACUACUGUAAGCAUUUGAAACUGCAUAUCUUGAGAAGAGUAGAGGUAAGUGGAAUUUUUAGUGUAGCGGUGAAAUGCGUAGAUAUUAAAAAGAAUACCGGUGGCGAAGGCGGCUUACUGGGCUCAUUCUGACGCUGAGGAACGAAAGCGGGGGUAGCAAACAGG
rnacentral:rRNA from 1 species